rnacentral:rRNA from 1 species
GAUUAGAGUUUGAUUAUGGCUCAGGAUGAACGCUAGCGACAGGCUUAACACAUGCAAGUCGAGGGGCAUCGGGGGUGAAAGCUUGCUUUCACCUGCCGGCGACCGGCGCACGGGUGAGUAACACGUAUGCAACCUGCCCUCCACUGGGGGAUAAGCGGAAGAAAUUCCGUCUAAUACCGCAUAAUAACCCGAGGGGACAUCCCCUUGGGUUUAAAGGAGUGAUCCGGUGGCGGAUGGGCAUGCGGCGCAUUAGCUUGUUGGCGGGGUAACGGCCCACCAAGGCGACGAUGCGUAGGGGUUCUGAGAGGAAGGUCCCCCACACUGGUACUGAGACACGGACCAGACUCCUACGGGAGGCAGCAGUGAGGAAUAUUGGUCAAUGGGCGGGAGCCUGAACCAGCCAAGUCGCGUGAGGGAAGACGGUCCUAUGGAUUGUAAACCUCUUUUGUCGGGGAGCAAAGAGACCACGUGUGGUCAAAAGCGAGAGUACCCGAAGAAAAAGCAUCGGCUAACUCCGUGCCAGCAGCCGCGGUAAUACGGAGGAUGCGAGCGUUAUCCGGAUUUAUUGGGUUUAAAGGGUGCGUAGGCGGGACGGUAAGUCAGCGGUAAAAAUGCGGAGCUCAACUCCGUCGAGCCGUUGAAACUGUCGUUCUUGAGUGAGCGAGAAGUAUGCGGAAUGCGUGGUGUAGCGGUGAAAUGCAUAGAUAUCACGCAGAACUCCGAUUGCGAAGGCAGCAUACCGGCGCUCAA